CCCUCUCCCUCCACGGUCUCCCUCUGAUGCCGAGCCAAGGCUGGACGGUACUGCUGCCAUCUCGGCUCACUGCAACCUCCCUGCCUGAUUCUCCUGCCUCAGCCUGCCGAGUGCCUGCGAUUGCAGGCGCGCACCGCCACGCCUGACUGGUUUUCGGUUUUUUUUGGUGGAGACGGGGUUUCGCUGUGUUGGCCGGGCUGGUCUCCAGCUCCUAGCCGCGAGUGAUCCGCCAGCCUCGGCCUCCCGAGGUGCCGGGAUUGCAGAUGGAGUCUCGUUCACUCAGUGCUCAAUGGUGCCCAGGCUGGAGUGCAGUGGCGUGAUCUCGGCUCGCUGCAACCACCUCCCAGCCGCCUGCCUUGGCCUCCCGGAGAGCCGAGAUUGCAGCCUCUGCCCAGCAGCCACCCCGUCUGGGAAGUGAGGAGCGUCUCUGCUUGGCCACCCAUCGUCUGGGAUGUGAGGAGCCCCUCUGCCUGGCUGCCCAGUCUGGAAAGUGAGGAGCGUCUCUGCCCGGCCGCCAUCCCAUCUGGGAAGCGAGGAGCGCCUCUUCCCCGCCGCCAUCCCAUCUAGGAAGUGAGGAGCGUCUCUGCCCGGCCGCCCAUCGUCUGAGAUGUGGGGAGCACCUCUGCCCCGCCGCCCUGUCUGGGAUGUGAGGAGUGCCUCUGCUGGGCCGCAGCCCUGUCUGGGAGGUGGGGAGCGUCUCUGCCCGGCCGCUCCGUCUGAGAAGUGAGGAAACCCUCUGCCUGGCAACCGCCCCGUCUGAGAAGUGAGGAGCCCCUCCGUCCGGCAACCACCCCGUCUGGGAAAUGAGGAGCGUCUCCGCCCAGCAGCCACCCCGUCCGGGAGGGAGGUGGGGGGGGUCAGCCCCCCGCCCGGCCAGCCACCCCGUCCGGGAGGUGAGGGGCGCCUCUGCCCGGCCGCCCCUACUGGGAAGUGAGGACCCCUCUGCCCGGCCAGCCGCCCCGUCCGGGAGGGAGGUGGGGGGGACAGCCCCCCGCCCAGCCAGCCGCCCUAUCCAGGAGGUGAGGGGCGCCUCUGCCCGGCCGCCCCUACUGGGAAGUGAGGAGCCCCUCUGCCUGGCCAGCCGCCCCGUCCGGGAGGGUGGUGGGGGGGUCAGCCCCCGCCCGGCCAGCCGCCCCAUCCGGGAGGUGAGGGGCGCUUCUGCCCGGCCGCCCCUACUGGGAAGUGAGGAGCCCCUCUGCCCGGCCACGACCCCGUCUGGGAGGUGUGCCCAGCGGCUCAUUGGGGAUGGGCCAUGAUGACAAUGGCGGUUUUGUGGAAUAGAAAGGCGGGAAGGGUGGGGAAAAAAUUGAGAAAUCGGAUGGUUGCCGGGUCUGUGUGGAUAGAAGUAGACAUGGGAGACUUUUCAUUUUGUUCUGUACUAAGAAAAAUUCUUCUGCCUUGGGAUCCUGUUGAUCUGUGACCUUAUCCCCAACCCUGUGCUCUCUGAAACAUGUGCUGUGUCCACUCAGGGUUAAAUGGAUUAAGGGUGGUGCAAGAUGUGCUUUGUUAAACAGAUGCUUGAAGGCAGCAUGCUCGUUAAGAGUCAUCACCACUCCCUAAUCUUAAGUACCCAGGGACACAAACACUGCGGAAGGCCAAGGCCGCAGGGUCCUCUGCCUAGGAAAACCAGAGACCUUUGUUCACUUGUUUAUCUGCU
rnacentral:lncRNA from 1 species